AUUGAACGCUGGCGGCAUGCCUUACACAUGCAAGUCGAACGGCAGCACGGGAGCAAUCCUGGUGGCGAGUGGCGAACGGGUGAGUAAUAUAUCGGAACGUGCCCAGUCGUGGGGGAUAACGCAGCGAAAGCUGUGCUAAUACCGCAUACGAUCUAUGGAUGAAAGCGGGGGAUCGCAAGACCUCGCGCGAUUGGAGCGGCCGAUAUCAGAUUAGCUAGUUGGUGGGGUAAAAGCUCACCAAGGCGACGAUCUGUAGCUGGUCUGAGAGGACGACCAGCCACACUGGAACUGAGACACGGUCCAGACUCCUACGGGAGGCAGCAGUGGGGAAUUUUGGACAAUGGGCGCAAGCCUGAUCCAGCAAUGCCGCGUGCAGGAUGAAGGCCUU
rnacentral:rRNA from 1 species